UUGCGUUCCUUAAUUGGCUGGAGCUUUGAAAGCUUUGAGGGCUUUCAAGCUCUAGCCAAUCAGAUAACGCAA
rnacentral:pre_miRNA from 1 species